CGUAAGGCUAUGCAGCGCUACAACCAUCUCUUUACGGAACUCUGUUCUCUGAAGGCCGAAAACGCGUACACAGCGAGAAGGUUGAGAGACGAACCCUAGAUUUCUUGCGACGCCAAUGGCCAACGAUACUGCUCACCGGAAACACCGCCGAUCUGCUUCCGAUGAUGACGAUGAGAAAUCUUCGAAGCGUCACAAACACCGUCACCAUCGCCGCCACCACCGACAUCGUCACAGCAGCAAUAAGAACGAAGAAGAAAGCUGCCGUGACCAGGAGGAUAAUGUUCCUCCUGUUGCUAAUCGUAGAUCUCGGCCCGAAGAUGACGUCGAGGAAGGUGAAAUUCUCGAAGAGGACGAGUCUGGCGUUCGCGAGAACGAUAGCGCGAUGAAGGAGGUGGAUGUGGAAUUUGGGAAAUUUGAAGCUGAUGAAAUUUCCGAUAGAGUUGACCGGCCCGCUAUGGAGUGUCAUUCAGUGGAUGAAUCAUCUAAUAUCGAUGCUAAUUUAAUUGUGAAAGUGGGGGCAGGAAACAGUGCUCAAGAUCGGAAGACCUCGAAAGUGGACAGUAAGUUCUAUAAUUUAGGUAAGGACAAAAGUGGCUAUCAUCUGAAAAAAGACACAAACAAGGAAAACAUGAUGCUCUAUCAAACUGACUCUAGCUGUAAGCACGGCAAUGAUGGUAGCUUUUCCACGAGUGAAGUGGCUGGAACUAAAUACAACAAUCAUGAACGUUGCCGAGAGGGUCACAGCAAAGGGGAUUUUGAUCAUGAACCUUUGGAGUUAGAUGAGAGGCGGCACAAACGAACGUUAUCGCCUUCUAAAGGGAGUAUUAAGAAAGUAAGCAACAAUGGCCACGGAAAGGUGGCAAUGGAUGGAAGCACCUUGGGGAAUGGGAAAAGGCCACAGUUAGAAAGGACUGAAGACAAGUCUCAGGAUUUUAUGCCAUCAACAUCUCAGGAUCGAUUCAUUGACACAUCAGAUUGUAGGAGUAGAUCAAGGUCAAAUUGUCAUUCUAGGGGGCAAUCUCAGUCUCGUGAAACAGUAGAAGAGGAGGCAGACUCAAAGAGUAGACAUUAUCAUGGUUGUGAUCACCCAAUAUUUGAUGAUAAAAGUAAAAUUCACAAUGACUUGGAUGAUGAUUACACUGAAUGUGCUAAGGGAGAGGGAAGGCAUCGAAGCAGGGAUACGAAGGACAGAGGGAGAAGGAAGAUGGAUGUGGAUGGGGAAUGGUCCAAGGAAAAUGAAAUGGAAAAAAACAAAGAUAAAGAUAGGGGGAUAGAUAACCAAAAGCAUGAUGAGAGAGAGAGAGGUGGGAGUAAGGAUAGAAGAAAGGAGACGGAACGAAACAGGAGCAAGGAAAGAGGGUUGGAUAGGGAUAGGAGGAGGGAAAGGGAUGUGGAAAGAGAUAGGAGAAUGAAGGAAAGAGGUUGGAGUCGGGAAAGAGAGGUGCAAAGAGAUAGAAGAGUGGAGAGGGAAAGAGGUUGGAGUAGGGAAAGAGAGGUAGAAAGAGAUAGACGAAUGGAGAAGCAGAGAGGUUGGAGCAAGGAAAGAGAGGUGGACAGGGAUAGAAGAGCAGAAAAGGAAAGAUGUAGGAGCACUGAUAGAGAGGGCAAUAGGGAUAGAAGAAGAGAAAGGGAAAAAGACAGGAGCAAGGAAAAAGAAGCGGAUUGGGAUGGGAGAAGGGAUAGGGACAGGGAUAGGAAUGAUGAUAAGGCUGAAUAUAGUGAUAGAAAUAGAGACAGGGAAAGGGUGAGAGAGAUGCAAAAGGACCGGUUUAGGGAUAAAGAAUUUGAUAAGGAGAGACAAGACGAUAGAAACAAGAAUAAAGCCAGUGACAUUUUAAGUGGUAAGGACAAGUAUGGGAAUCUUGAACAUGACUAUUUUAAAGGUUCUAAGCAGUCUAGGCAUUAUGAUAAUGAAUUUGGUCUUGAUGGGGGAAGAAUUAAUGCUGUCGAAAAGCAUGGUAGUUUUAAGAGAAAUACUCGUGAAGGAGGUGAAGACAAGCUAAUGAGUGAUCACGAUGAGGAGGAAGAGGAUGGAGACAGCAUGUCAUUUCAAUUGGCUGAUGAAGAAGAGGAGGAUCUUAACAGAAUCAAGGAGGAGAGUAGAAGACGGAGGCAAGCAAUCUUAGAAAAAUACAAAUGCCAGCAGCUAGAGAAACAAGUAGAGCCUUCUUUAAAGGAAUCUGAGAAAGAUAAGGAUUCUGCAAAUGAUUCUUCUCAAUCAGAAGCUGCUGCUCAUGCUAUUCUAGAAUCGGUUGAUGGGGCGGUGGAUGAUAGUGUGGCCGACUCAUCUUUUGUUGUGGAGAAAUCACCACAACAGAAUGGAGUAAUUGCGUCUGAUAAAACUGCUGGUACUAAAGGACUUGGAGAGGGUACUCCGAAGGCUGAAGGGUCAGAUGGAUUAUUCUGUGAUGACAUUUUUGGAGAAACACCUGCUGCAGUACGUAAAAUGGGCAAAGGUGAUGGUUUGCAGAUAGAGAGGAGUGGUCUUCAUGACAAUUGGGAUGAUGCAGAUGGAUAUUAUAACUAUCGAUUUGGUGAAGUGCUUGAUGGUCGGUAUGAAAUUGCUGCUGCUCAUGGCAAAGGUGUCUUUUCAACUGUAGUCCGUGCAAAGGAUCUCAAAGCUGGUCAUGGCGAACCAGAAGAAGUGGCAAUCAAAAUUUUACGUAGUAAUGAAACAAUGUACAAGGCUGGUCUGGAGGAGUUGGUCAUAUUGAAAAAGCUAGUAGGUGCAGAUCCAGAUGACAAGCGUCACUGUGUUCGUUUUCUUUCAAGUUUCAAAUAUAGGAAUCAUCUUUGUUUAGUUUUUGAAUCUCUUCAUAUGAAUCUCCGUGAGGUCUUGAAGAAAUUUGGGCGCAAUAUUGGCCUUAAGCUAACUGCUGUGAGGGCAUACGCUAAGCAGCUUUUUAUUGCCCUGAAGCAUUUGAGAAACUGUGGUGUUCUCCACUGUGAUAUAAAGCCGGAUAAUAUGCUGGUUAACGAGGGAAAAAAUGUGCUGAAGCUUUGUGAUUUUGGUAAUGCCAUGUUUGCUGGUAAAAAUGAAAUCACCCCAUACCUUGUUAGCCGGUUUUAUCGUGCACCUGAAAUAAUUUUAGGGCUGUCAUAUGACCAUCCAAUGGAUAUCUGGUCUGUGGGUUGCUGUUUGUACGAGCUCUCUACAGGAAAAGUUCUUUUUCCAGGUCCUUCUAAUAAUGACAUGCUGCGCCUACACAUGGAAUUAAAAGGCCCUUUUCCAAAGAAGAUGCUUCGUAAGGGAGCAUUUACUGACCAGCAUUUUGACCAGGACCUGAACUUCCAUGCUUCUGAGGAGGAUCCUGUAACCAAAAAGACCAUAAAGCGAAUAAUAGUCAAUAUAAAGCCUAAAGAUAUUGGAUCAAUUAUUAGGGGAUCUCCUGGUGAAGAUCCAAAGAUGUUAGCCAAUUUUAAGGAUCUUCUAGACAAAAUUUUUGUGUUGGAUCCAGAAAAAAGGAUGACAGUAUCACAAGCAUUGAAUCAUCCUUUCAUCACUGGCAAGUGAUCAAUGUUGCUGCUUUUAUGACACCAGCGUUCAGUAGAUUUCUUGUAAAUUAUGACCUAAUUCAUACAGUUUCUAAUCACUUGGUAUUGCCAGUCUUCUUUAUGAUGACCUAAGCUUCUGGCACAAUUAUGGGAUGAUUGAAUUCAGAAGGGGUCAUAUUGGUCAGGAGUGGCGGGGUCUUUCAGUCGAAUGUACUGUUUCUAUUGAUGUCUGCUUCUGCUCUGAGAGAACCUUCCAGUGCUUAAGUGAUUUACAGGCACUCAGGAGAAGUCGUUUAUGGAGGCACUUGCAUUGGAGAGGUUAACUGCUGUGGCACCAUGUGAAGUAGUGUUGCAGGCAAACUGCAUAUCAUCCCCAUUCUCUUGUAAGUACUUCCAACUCCAUACAGCUAUUGCAAGGUUAUUUAUUUUGUAUAUUUCUUAGAAAGAAUGCAAUGAUGCAAAUUAAUGAAAAUAUCAAGGAUAAUAGUCCAAUUUCCUUUCUGUUUCCAGUAUAUGAUAAAUAUUUGUCUUAAGCAUAAAAAUUUGAUGAUAAUAUGAAAGCAUUAGAAUUCCAGUGUUCCUGAACCAAAAGGCAUUGCAUGAAUGUGACAUAAAUAGAAGAUUUAAGAUGGUAAUGAGAAAUCUAACAUAUUUAAGGAAGUUUUACUUUUAUCAUUGAAAUGUUAUAAUGAUUUAAAUUUCAAUUAUAAAUUUUAUUAGAAAAAAGGUGUGUAGAAAAUAGUGAAACUAUUUGUAUACCUGUUGAAUAAAAACAAAUUUCAAUUAGAGAUGCAUGAAUACAAAAGGAUGAUUAGCAUUGAGCGAUCAACCCAAAAACCCUCUGCAAUUCUUUCUAAGGUGAGAUGAAAAGGUACUAGGAAUCAUAAGUUCUAGUGUGUGGCAGGAAUGUUGUAAUUAGGAUAUUUUUGUAAAUUUCAUUCCUAUCUUCUAAAUUGUUGUUUCUCCCAAGUCAUAAGAAACGCUAUGAAAGUGCACAUCACAAUUUGAUUUCUGUGCCACUUAAAUUAGUUGGUUAAGGGAAUAAUUCUACUCAAUUCUUGAGGGAACCUAUUCACAGGGUACCGUGAUUCUUUUGUUAUUUAUCCAGAAAAUGCCAAUAGGAUUCUUAUACGUUUAAUCCUUGAGUGGAACUCACGCGGAAGUGCUUAGAAGCUUUAACUUACUUUAGAUGUAGAGUUUGAAUUUUGAAUUAUGUUAUUAUCAUUUUGCCAACGUGUGAGGUGGGGGGAAUCGAACUUCUUACUUCGAUGUUGAUUUUACAAACACUAUUUAUUAUCUUUAUAACUCAAUAGUAAAUAAUGAAUCAAUUUUAUAAAUAAUAUUGAUGAAGUAAAUUUGAUUUUAUUAGACUUUUUAAAAAUUUGAAGUCUGGGAUAAACAUUUAUGUCUGAGACUUGGGGCGACCACGGACUUUAAAAAUAAGACUUUAGAAGAAAGCCUGUGACAAGUCACUUCUAGAUGAUUCAACAUUUUGGAAGAGGAGUAGAAGAUCGAAAAUCAAAUGACCUUGUGAGAUGUCUUUGUUUCUGUUUAGUGUUGGGAUUUACAGUUAUGAACACAACUGGACCUGGACCACAUUCUUUGGUGCUGUGACUUCAUGAGUGGUGUCUGGAAUUCUUUUUUCCAGACGUUUGGUAUGAUAAGUGUUCGUCAUUGAGAGAUGUCAGUGCUAUGAUAGAAGAGUUCCCUCCCCAAUCUGCCUUUUGGGGAGAAAGGCUGGUUUCUCUGGCUUGCUGGAGUGUGUGCUGUUUUAGGGGUUUUGUGGGGCAAACGGAGCAAUAGGAUAUUUAUGGGAGAGGAGAGGAAUCUUAGGGAGUUGUGGUCCCUUGUUCGUUCGUUUUCAUGUUUCUCUUUAGACUUUGAUUUCAAAGACUUUUUGUAAUUAUUCUAUAGGGUGUUAUCUCGCAUAGUUGGAGUUCCUUCUUGUGAAGGGAGUUUCCCUUUUUGUGGAAUUGUUUUUUUGUAUGUCUGUGUAUUAUUUCACCUUUUUCUCAAUGAAAGUUGUUAUUUUCAUCAAAAGAAAAAAAAAUUGUGGACAUGAGCAAUGAAGUUCUCUGUUUUGACGUUGGAGAA